UUCAAUGGGCUAUGGUGUUGUGCGACCUACUCUUGGUGGUGUAACCUCAAAAGUGUUUCUGUUAGCCCUUAUGUAUUUUAUUGCUACGGAGGCACUUGAACUUGUGGAGCAUUUGGGAAGCAUCAAUGACUUCUCAAGGAAAACCAAGAUAUAUUUGGUGCUGCCUGUUGUUUUCUUGGAUGCAUCAUUUAUUUUGUGGAUAUUCUCAUCAUUAUCCAAGACAUUGGAAAAAUUACAGAUGCGGAAAAGCAUGGCAAAACUUGAUCUUUAUAGAAAGUUUACCAAUUCCCUUGCAAUUUUUGUGCUGAUUUCCAUUGCUUGGGUUGGCUAUGAGCUGUACUUCAAUGCAAGUGACCCAUUAAGUGAGCUAUGGCGAAUUUCCUGGAUUAUUCCAGCUUUCUGGAGUUUGCUUGCCUUUUCGUUGUUGGUAGUAGUAUGUAUUCUCUGGGCUCCUUCAAGUAACCCAACCAGGUACAUGUUGUAAACUGAGCUUUCUAUUUUAUUAGCCUUUCUAUGAAAUGGUUUGACAAAAUCGUUUGUAGUUGGUGUUUACACUAUUCAACCUAGUUUUUGUCAUUAUUAUUGGUAACACUUCUCAAGAUUCUUAAUGGGUAUUGUACUAAACAGUAUUUUCUAACUGUCAGUGUGUGAAUGAUUUUUUGUGGCAUAGAAUUGUUCCAAGGGAUGACAGGUAAUAAAAAGAACAUACCACGGAUGAUAAAAUGAGCAAUAGAAAGAUGAAGGCAAUUUAAAAUGUCAUUGUGCUUACUCUUCUAGAAAGCGCAAUCUAUGAAUGAAAAAAGC
rnacentral:misc_RNA from 1 species